rnacentral:lncRNA from 1 species
GCGGUGGCUAGAAAUUGAUGGAAACGGUGGGGGAAAAUACAUGAACUGGACUCUAACAAGACCUAACCAGCAAUAAGACCUCGACGAGGACACAAACUCAACACUGCGGACUCUGAAACUGAAAUAUGCAAAGGCUAUGACGUGGAAGGGUUGUAGGACAAGAAAACGAUAUGACACUGCACUUAUGGGACGAACACAAGAACACUCAAAACUAAGGCUAGAUGUGAACCUAAUGGUAUACCUAAAGCUUUGAUUCCCACAUGAUGAGAACAAGGGUGACCCGAUCUUCUAAAAGGUUCUGGUAACUCUCGAUUUGGUGGAGACGAGACACAAAUCGAUCCGGCUUCCGAACAACACGAUCCGAAACCCUGCAAAUUUUUUUAUUUUUUUGAUAUUUUUCUUUUAGUUAGAGCACCAAAGGAGUGACCAUAGAAAAUUUGAGCUUAAACCAGUGAAAGACAUGGCCUACGAAAAUUUCUGAAAAUUGUGAAAAAUGUGAAAAAAACAUCAUGAGGUGAAAACUCAAACUUCAGUUGUGAAUUUGGAGGUCCUAAAAUUUGCAAACCAGCCAAGGGAGGGGACAGACAGAUCCGAAAUUUUUUUCUGAUCGAUUUUGAUAUAUGGAACAUUGAAAUCGGAGCUCGUAUGCGAAAGUUAUGGCUAUUUUACGAACGGACUCCAAAUUAGAGGACAAAACGGUGCGAAAGUGGGCAAAAUUUACGGUGGUGGCUAGAAAUUGAUGGAAACGGUGGGGGAAAAUACAUGAACUGGACUCUAACAAGACCUAACCAGCAACAAGACCUCGACGAGGACACAAACUCAACACUGCGGACUCUAAAACUGAAAUAUGCAAAGGCUAUGGCGUGGAAGGGUUGUAGGACAGAAAAACGAUAUGACACUGGACUUAUGGGACGAACACAAGAACACUCGAAACUAAGGGUAGAUUUGAACCUAAUGGUAUAUCUAAAUCUUUGAUUUCCACAUGAUGAGAACAAGGGUGACCCGAUCUUCUGAAAGGUUCUGGUAACUCUUGAUUUGGUGGAGACGAGACACAAAUCGAUCCGGGUUCCGAACAACACGAUCCGAAACCCUACAAUUUUUUUAUUUUUUUGAUAUUUUUAUUUUAGUUAGAGCACCAAUGGAGUAACCACAGGAAAUUUGAGCUUAAACCAGUGAAAAACAUGGCCUA